ACGUUUGUUCUUCGUAGAUUUGCUAAAGCCAUCUUUAUCAAUAAACGAUCAUGGAUGAUGAAGCACAGGCAGUUUCCCCGGUACUUUAUAUCCGUUGAUACCAAUGCUGCUUAAAAUUGUCUAUUCAUUUAAAAUUAAAAUAAAAGAUUUUUCGUUGUUGAAAA